AAACCUGAAACCGUGCGCUUACAAGAAGUCAGAGCCCGAUUCAGGGGUGAUGGCGUGCCUUUUGUAGAAUGAACCGGCGAGUUACGUUCCCAUGCAAGGUUAAGGUGAAGAGCCGGAGCCGCAGCGAAAGCGAGUCUGAAUAGGGCGAUACAGUAUGUGGACGUAGACCCGAAACCGUGUGAUCUACCCCUGUCCAGGGUGAAGGUGCGGUAACACGCACUGGAGGCCCGAACCCACGAAUGUUGAAAAAUUCGGGGAUGAGGUGGGGGUAGCGGAGAAAUUCCAAUCGAACUCGGAGAUAGCUGGUUCUCCCCGAAAUAGCUUUAGGGCUAGCCUCGGUGUCAGAGUCGUGGAGGUAGAGCACUGAUUGGGUGCGGGGCCCGCCAAGGGUUACCAAGUCCAGUCAAGCUCCGAAUGCCAAGUACCUAUAACCGGGAGUCAGACGGUGAGUGCUAAGAUCCAUCAUCAAGAGGGAAACGACCCAGACCAACAGCUAAGGUCCCCGGAUCGGAAGAGCACACUGCCGGAUCCCAAUGGCUGACACUUU
rnacentral:rRNA from 1 species